AAAAAACUUUACUGCAUAUGUACACAUUGGUUGUUUGCCCAAACUUAUGCGUGGUGGCCAGCGGUAGCCAGCGCCACCCUGCAAUGGCACAUGUGGCUUCCCACAGUCCUGUUGAUCUUUGCCAUUCUGAUUUAGGUGAAUGAGUCACUAGCAACAAAUAAGUAUGGAUCUGAGACACCAGGGAGCAUUCUCAAGAACUGGUGUAGCAUAAGAGUUUCCUGCAAUCAACAACAAGACAGCUAAUCACUCUGCAAUUAAGGCUCUGUCAAUUCUCCUUUUUAUAAGCUACAGUAGAUGUGCUGAGGAUGGAUCCCAAGGGCACGCAAUGCUGGGGCAAGGCAACUUCUUGACUCUAAAGAAGUCACAUGCCACAGUGAUUUAGAGAUGAAAAAGAAAAGAGAUUACUGCAGUUUGGCCCUUCACUUCUGAUUUACUGUGUGUGCAUCUUCCGUGUGGCCUGCGGGGGCCCUGUUAUUUUGGUACACAUCCCAAGUGUCAUACUGAUUCCAAUAAAAGGGUUCUGGUUUUGACAGUG
rnacentral:lncRNA from 1 species